GGGAAAACCCUUCUGUGUCCUGAAGGGUUCAAACUCUGGUGAGGAUCCAGUUAUCAGGUGCUCACCUGGAUGGUUCCAGCUGCCAAAGGGAAAGACUCUCAUAUCCUUGUCGUCGGGCUCGGUGCUGCCCAAGAAGAUACAGAGACUAAAAAAAUCAUAAGAAGCAAAAUAUGACUGCAGGGAAAAGAAGCUGGAGAGAACAGAAGGCUGCCAUUUGUGUGCCAUCGGUACUCACCACGGAAGGGAGCUGGGGAUUGUUGCAGCUGUUGGGAACAAACCGCUUCUCGUCACACAGAAAUGGAAUUGGGACGACGCCUCGGCCAGCCCCUCUCUGCCAUCGUCUCCUGAAUCUGCAGCAGAGCAGUUCCAGUCCAUCCGGGCACGUGUAAUCCAGUUCCUGAUGAUCUGAGCACACGGAGCAGCGCUCAGCUGCUGUGGGGGGCUCACGGAAGGCAGAGUGUGCAUUGUCAUCUUCCUGAACCUACAGACGAAUCAAAGUGAGAAGCCACAGCGUGGAAAUCAGUCGCAUAUAUGCUAAAUAAAACUUGCAGAUUUUUUUAAGAA